AGGUUAAGUUAUUAAGGGCGCAUGGUGGAUGCCUUGGCACUAGGAGCCGAUGAAGGACGUGACUAACUGCGAUAUGCUUCGGGGAGUUGUAAGUAAACUGUGAACCGGAGAUUUCCGAAUGGGGCAACCCAGCAGGCCUAACGGCCUGUUAUCGCUAAGUGAAUUCAUAGCUUAGUUGAAGGUAGACGUGGGGAACUGAAACAUCUAAGUACCCAUAGGAAGAGAAAGAAAUUCGAUUCCCCCAGUAGCGGCGAGCGAAGAGGGAAGAGCCCAAACCGAGAAGCUUGCUUCUCGGGGUUGUAGGACUGGACUUUAGAGUUACCAAGAGAUUUGAUAGUUGAAUGAUUUGGGAAAAUCAGCCAGAGAAGGUGAGAGCCCUGUAAACGAAAUUAAGUCUCCUCUGUCCAGGAUCCUGAGUACGGCGGAACACGUGAAACUCCGUCGGAAUCCGGGAGGACCAUCUCCCAAGGCUAAAUACUACCUAGUGACCGAUAGUGAACCAGUACCGUGAGGGAAAGGUGAAAAGCACCCCGGGAGGGGAGUGAAAGAGUUCCUGAAACCAUGUGCCUACAAGUAGUUAGAGCCCGUUAAUGGGUGAUAGCGUGCCUUUUGUAGAAUGAACCGGCGAGUUACGUUAGCAUGCGAGGUUAAGGGGGAAAGCCCGGAGCCGAAGCGAAAGCGAGUCUGAAUAGGGCGCUUUAGUAUGUUGACGUAAACCCGAAACCAGGUGACCUACCCAUGUCCAGGUUGAAGGUGCGGUAAAACGCACUGGAGGACCGAACCCGUGUAUGUUGAAAAAUGCUGGGAUGAGGUGUGGGUAGAGGUGAAAUUCCAAACGAACUUGGAGAUAGCUGGUUCUCUCCGAAAUAGCUUUAGGGCUAGCCUCGGAGUAAAGGAUAGUGGAGGUAGAGCACUGUUUGGACUAGGGGCCCGUCUUGGGUUACUGAAUUCAGAUAAACUCCGAAUGCCACAUAUCUAUAUCCGGGAGUCAGACUGCGAGUGAUAAGAUCCGUAGUCGAAAGGGAAACAGCCCAGACCACCAAUUAAGGUCCCUAAAUAUGUGUUAAGUGGAAAAGGAUGUGGAAUUGCACAGACAACUAGGAUGUUGGCUUAGAAGCAGCCACCAUUUAAAGAGUGCGUAAUAGCUCACUAGUCGAGUGAUCCUGCGCCGAAAAUGUAACGGGGCUAAACACAUUACCGAAAUUGUGGAUGUGUCCGUAAGGACACGUGGUAGGAGAGCGUUCUAAGGGCGGUGAAGUCAGACCGUAAGGACUGGUGGAGCGCUUAGAAGUGAGAAUGCCGGUAUGAGUAGCGAAAGGUAGGUGAGAAUCCUACCCACCGUAUGACUAAGGUUUCCUGGGGAAGGCUCGUCCUCCCAGGGUUAGUCGGGACCUAAGCCGAGGCCGAGAGGCGUAGGCGAUGGAUAACAGGUUGAGAUUCCUGUACUAGUUAAACUUGUUUAAACAAUGGAGGGACGCAGGAGGCUAAAGAUGCGAACAAUGGAGGGACGCAGGAGGCUAGAGAUGCGCACUGUUGGAUAUGUGCGUCCAAGCAAUAAGUCUGUUGGUGAGUCAAAUGCUUACCGACUGAGGACAAGUUGUGAUGGGGAGCGAAAUUAAAGUAGCGAAGUGAUUGAUGUCACACUGCCGAGAAAAGCUUCUAGUUAGAGUUUAAUUACCCGUACCGCAAACCGACACAGGUAGUCGAGGAGAGUAUCCUAAGGUGAGCGAGAGAACUCUCGUUAAGGAACUCGGCAAAAUGACCCCGUAACUUCGGGAGAAGGGGUGCUGAGCGCAAGCUCAGCCGCAGUGAAUAGGCCCAGGCGACUGUUUAUCAAAAACACAGGUUUCUGCAAAAUCGUAAGAUGAAGUAUAGGGGCUGACGCCUGCCCGGUGCUGGAAGGUUAAGAGGAGUGCUUAGCGCAAGCGAAGGUGCGAAUUGAAGCCCCAGUAAACGGCGGCCGUAACUAUAACGGUCCUAAGGUAGCGAAAUUCCUUGUCGGGUAAGUUCCGACCCGCACGAAAGGCGUAACGAUCUGGGCACUGUCUCAACGAGAGACUCGGUGAAAUUAUAAUACCCGUGAAGAUGCGGGUUACCCGCGACAGGACGGAAAGACCCCAUGGAGCUUUACUGUAGCUUGAUAUUGGGUGUUUGUACAACUUGUACAGGAUAGGUAGGAGCCGUAGAAGUCGGAACGCUAGUUUCGACAGAGGCGCUGGUGGGAUACUACCCUCGUUGUAUGAACACUCUAACCCACGCCGGCAAUCACGGCGGGAGACAGUGUCAGGUGGGCAGUUUGACUGGGGCGGUCGCCUCCUAAAAGGUAACGGAGGCGCCCAAAGGUUCCCUCAGAAUGGUUGGAAAUCAUUCGCAGAGUGUAAAGGCAUAAGGGAGCUUGACUGCGAGACCUACAAGUCGAGCAGGGACGAAAGUCGGGCUUAGUGAUCCGGUGGUUCCGCAUGGAAGGGCCAUCGCUCAACGGAUAAAAGCUACCCUGGGGAUAACAGGCUUAUCUCCCCCAAGAGUCCACAUCGACGGGGAGGUUUGGCACCUCGAUGUCGGCUCAUCGCAUCCUGGGGCUGUAGUCGGUCCCAAGGGUUGGGCUGUUCGCCCAUUAAAGCGGUACGCGAGCUGGGUUCAGAACGUCGUGAGACAGUUCGGUCCCUAUCCGUCGCGGGCGUAGGAAAUUUGAGAGGAUCUGUCCUUAGUACGAGAGGACCGGGAUGGACAUACCGCUGGUGUACCAGUUGUUCUGCCAAGGGCAUCGCUGGGUAGCUAUGUAUGGAUGAGAUAAACGCUGAAAGCAUCUAAGCGCGAAACUCGCCUCGAGAUAAGAUUUCCCAUUCCGUAAGGAAGUAAGACCCCUGAGAGAUGAUCAGGUAGAUAGGAUGGAAGUGGAAGUGCGGUGACGUAUGAAGCGGACCAUUACUAAUC
rnacentral:rRNA from 1 species